AGAGUUUGAUCCUGGCUCAGGAUGAACGCUGGCGGCGUGCUUAACACAUGCAAGUCGAACGAAGCAUUUGCGACAGAUUUCUUCGGGAUGAAGUUGCUUAUGACUGAGUGGCGGACGGGUGAGUAACGCGUGGGUAACCUGCCUUGUACUGGGGGAUAGCAGCUGGAAACGGCUGGUAAUACCGCAUAAGCGCACAAUGUUGCAUGACAUGGUGUGAAAAACUCCGGUGGUAUAAGAUGGACCCGCGUCUGAUUAGCUAGUUGGUGAGAUAACAGCCCACCAAGGCGACGAUCAGUAGCCGACCUGAGAGGGUGACCGGCCACAUUGGGACUGAGACACGGCCCAGACUCCUACGGGAGGCAGCAGUGGGGAAUAUUGCACAAUGGAGGAAACUCUGAUGCAGCGACGCCGCGUGAGUGAAGAAGUAAUUCGUUAUGUAAAGCUCUAUCAGCAGGGAAGAUAGUGACGGUACCUGACUAAGAAGCUCCGGCUAAAUACGUGCCAGCAGCCGCGGUAAUACGUAUGGAGCAAGCGUUAUCCGGAUUUACUGGGUGUAAAGGGAGUGUAGGUGGCCAUGCAAGUCAGAAGUGAAAAUCCGGGGCUCAACCCCGGAACUGCUUUUGAAACUGUAAGGCUGGAGUGCAGGAGGGGUGAGUGGAAUUCCUAGUGUAGCGGUGAAAUGCGUAGAUAUUAGGAGGAACACCAGUGGCGAAGGCGGCUCACUGGACUGUAACUGACACUGAGGCACGAAAGCAUGGGUAGCAAACAGGAUUAGAUACCCUGGUAGUCCAUGCCCGUAAACGAUGAUUACUAGGUGUGGGGGGACUGACCCCUUCCGUGCCGCAGUUAACACAAUAAGUAAUCCACCUGGGGAGUACGGCCGCAAGGUUGAAACUCAAAGGAAUUGACGGGGGCCCGCACAAGCAGUGGAGUAUGUGGUUUAAUUCGAAGCAACGCGAAGAACCUUACCAGGUCUUGACAUCCUGAGAAUCCUUAAGAGAUUAGGGAGUGCCUUCGGGAACUCAGAGACAGGUGGUGCAUGGUUGUCGUCAGCUCGUGUCGUGAGAUGUUGGGUUAAGUCCCGCAACGAGCGCAACCCUUAUCUUUAGUAGCCAGCGGUCAGGCCGGGCACUCUAGAGAGACUGCCAGGGAUAACCUGGAGGAAGGCGGGGAUGACGUCAAAUCAUCAUGCCCCUUAUGACUUGGGCUACACACGUGCUACAAUGGCGUAAACAAAGGGAAGCGAGCCUGCGAGGGGGAGCAAAUCCCAAAAAUAACGUCUCAGUUCGGAUUGUAGUCUGCAACUCGACUACAUGAAGCUGGAAUCGCUAGUAAUCGCGAAUCAGAAUGUCGCGGUGAAUACGUUCCCGGGUCUUGCACACACCGCCCGUCA
rnacentral:rRNA from 1 species